UUAUAUCAUUCUCUGCAAUAAACGCCCAAGGGAAAUGAAAUUUGUGAUGUUUGGGUAAUUGAUUUGUUAAAUAGGUUCAUUGAGAUUGUGUCAAAAUGGCUUGGGUCAACACACACGACGCCUCUGUCUUUGUCAGUGGUUUGAAGACUUUUCUCGAAGAAAACCACAAGAAACACCUACUGGGGGACUCCGGCUAUCAACAAUAGGUACAACAAUGCCCAGUCAAGUGUACUGUGGUUGAUAGGGCUUUUGGACUGCCAAAGAGUAGAUUUAGGUGUCUACAUAAAACUGGCGGUUGUUUAUUCAUGAGACUCGAUGAGUGCUGUCAAGCAGUGGCUGCAUGAAUGCACCUGCACAACUUAUGCAUAGAUUAGCAGGUGCCACUGCCUGAACAACUUACUGAGGCACAAGAAGGGGAUGAGGUUGUGCCCAGUCCACAACAGGACCAAAAUGCAGCUUAUAUGGACAACACAUCAUUAACUUAUUUAUGUAGUUGCUGUUUUAUGCUCACAUGUGCACAAAGUGCUAUAGGUGAGUCAUUGUGGUCAGUCUAUGUUCGGCAACAUGUGUUAAUAUUCAAUAUUUGACUCUUUAUUGAUGAACGAUGGUCAUUAUGUUUCUGCUAAUGAUACAUAAUAACUUAAUAAGUUAAUGAUUUCUUGUCUAUGAGCUGCUGCAUUUCGGUCAAGUGUGGUCAACAUCUUUGUUGAAGUGUGGAUAUUGACAAUUUCUGCCGUUCUUUUUUGGAUUUUUUUCAUUAAAGACACACUUUUUACAAUAUUCAUUUAUGCAAUGCGUACGAUGAUUACAUGUUUCCUUUAUAGUAUAACAAAGUGAAAAUAAAUUCUUCUCCUUUAUUUAAUUAUCUUUGUAACAUAACAAUACAGGGUUUUCUCCAACUCUACAGCUAGGGAACAAUGAAGUGGAACACUAUCUGAAAAUGAAAUACAUUUUAUGUUAAUAAAAUUUGUAUUUGUAAG